ACAAGAAGUAAAACCCAUGGACUUUUUCAGGAUCGGGGUCUGCAGUGUGUCACUGAAGGCAGCUAGAAGAGGGAUACAGCUGACUGUAUAGAAAUGUGUCAGCUGGAAGUUAGAAGAUAAGCAUUAAUUGCUUGUUGAAUGUAACCACAGUCUUCACCUUUUUCCUUCUUGUCCACAACUUUAAAAAAUACGUGGAUGGGAAUUCAAAUUAUUAGAUUAUUAGCAUGUUCAUAUCAAGACUUUGGAUUAUUUGGGAAAACUCAUAUGUCUCAAUGCCAUGACCAUUGCCUUAAUGUACUCAAGGAUUUAAGAUUGCAUAAUAACUGAUUAUGGAAAAAGAAAGAGGCCUCAAGCUGGGAACUUCUUAAAGAACAUCUUAUUCUUAGAAGUAACCUACAGUAGUUAUUUGCUUAUCUUCAGAGAUGGUUAUCUAACUGGAAUCUGUUUUGUUCCCUUGUACAUGAGCCUGCUUCCCCACCUCUUUUAUUGGUGAACUAUGGAAUGUUACUGGACAUUAAACCACAUGAAACACAUGGUCACUGUAAAUUAUUUAUGAGAAUGCCUGCCUUAAGAAUCUCAUAAGAAAUCUCAUUUAUCUUCUUUUUACCUGAAGCAUGAUAUCCUUAUGGAAGGAAUGAGUUAAGUACAGCUACCAUCUUUUUCUUCAAUCAAAAAUACUGUGAUGUUGAAGCAUACUCAAAGGCAUCAGCCCAUCAGUCUGUUUUGUUUUCAGAAGAGAUUACCAAUAGAGAGAGAAAGAAUGAAUUUCUUACCAAUGAGAAAGAAAAUCCCUUGGAAGUCAGGUCUCGGUUUGGCAUCUGCACAGUUUUGUUACUGAAGACUCUGAUCUUCAAACUGCAGUCAUACCUGUUGCUCUCUGUGCACAGAACAUCUGUCUUAGUCUUGGCAUGAGUCUCCAUGACCAGUGGUAUCUCCAAAGCUGAUAGCUUUAAGACUGCAGAGGCUUGUGAGGAUGUGACAGCUGGAAACUUGAAACUUGUCCAAACUUGACAUUGUCUAAUCUGUUGUUUUUAAUGUUAACUAUUUCUUACUUGGAACUAUUAAAGUUGCCAAGGAACAGCUUAUGUUUCUGGCUUCCUUGCCAGAAGACUCACUCUUCUUUCCCCCAUCACAUCACAAACUAAUGCCUGGUCAUGAGGGGAGGGACUGAGAGGCUCCAUAGAAAAAUGGCGGCCGAAACUGGAUUGCCAUCAAUUCAGAGAGAGCAGAGAGAGCAAUCUGUUUUGAUCAGCCUCUCUCAUGAGAAAACAUGAAGGGGACAGGAGUUUUAAGUGCAUAGUACUGCUGGCAUGUACAUGUACAAAGACCUGGUUUCUGGAGCACAUCGCAACUCUUACUUGCAGAUUUACUUGCUGAACAUCUCUUCAUGCCCCCUUGCUUGGCGUAGCAUAAUGUGGUACUACCUUACCACUAAAAUGAUCCCCAGAGUCUGCACAAAGUACUGUCCUGAAACAAAUGAGGAAAGAGAAACAUUUGUCUUAGAACAGAGUGAUUUAAAAAUCUUCUUUCAAAAUAUGAUGUUAAUAAUGUCUGUUACAGCUGCAUGCACUAUAAUAUCUUAAAAUUUGAAGCAGUUACCUGUUGCCAAAGUCUCAAAGAGAAUGCAUUGAACUGAUGAAUGGAGUAGCACAAACCCCUCCCUCUUUACAGAGUUAAGAGUGGGAAGCAAGUUCUUGAAGUGCUAAACUACAGUCUGUAGCAGUAGCUGUUUCUCGCACUUUAAUUUCAAUUUAAUCAGCUCAAUUCAAACAACUAGGUCAAAUUUGGAAAUGGGUUAGGAAUUGAAAAAGUUUUGGGUUUUUUUUUCUUUCCAUACACAGGAUAGACCUAUGAAGGUAAAAUCCACUGUUAUCUAAAAGGUGAAGGCACUGGCAACCAGAAACAAUCAGUUGUCCUCUUUGUUAACAAAAUGUAUUUCAUGGAUUUUUCCAAUACAUUUAAAACAUAUCUAAUCUAAGAAUUAUUUCAAAUGACAUUUUCUGUAUUACUGCACUUUGCAUCCAAACAGAGCUCUUGGCAAACUAAUUAAGUGCUACAUAAUAAAAAAAUGUAUGCAGACAUUUUCAGAUAAAAUGUAACCAUUUAGCAUCUAAUAAGCUAUAGAAUCUUAACUAUGAAAAAUGUAUUCCCUAGUUCUAAAAGGUUGCCAAUCUUUGUGAAGUGACUAUAUUUAAUUGCAAACAAGCAUUUAAAUAAUUGCUAAUGAAGUAACAAUAAUCUUUUAGAAGAGAUAAAUAUAGAUGCAAAAUCAGGCUUAAAACAUAGGUUUUUGUUUAUUUAAGUCAUUUUUAAAAAGAAGUUACUUUUGACAGAAAUCAUUCCUCCUGUAAUCAAACUUAGGAGAGGCAGUAAGUAGUAUGUGCUUUGAGAUGCACAAGUUGGAUUUCUUUUCUGAGAUUUAGGUAACUAAAAUAUUGAGGUCUAUCACAAGAUUAAAUAACCUGGCUUUCAUUUGCAAUCAGGGAAGACAAAAUAGGCAGGCCUGGCAGGAGAACCAUUCUAUCCUAAAAGAGGUCACGUAAGUUGCUAUAUGGUAGUGACAGCGCUUGCUAACAGAGCAUAGGAAAACUUUAGGCUUAGACAUCUGGUGUUUCAUGGGGUUUUUUUUAAGUUUACUUUAAACAUCUCAAAAUGGAGAUGAGAGAGCUACAGUAAAUGCAGCUGACCUUGCUAUUGCCAUGUGUUGAUGGUGCUGCAGUUUUUCUGAGUUCCCCUAACAGCAUCUUCUUUGUGGUUUUUGUUUGUUUGUUUGUUUGCGUUUUGGACCUUUAUAUGUCCUUUGCAAGGGGCCUACUCUAAGGCUUGCCUGUUCCCCCCUCCUCCCCCCUCCCUCGGAGAUCAUGUUUAAAUAUUUGUUUGUUGUACCCUGUGUCUGCAAGGGAUAACAUGCUGUGACUUCCUUGUUGUCAUGGCAUUAGUCUAAAUAAUUAGACAAAGAGUUAAGAGAUCUACAGUUACAGUUACAGAAAACUGAGCUCUUUUUGAACUUUAAAUUCUCCUUGCUACUGAUGUCUUGGUUUUCCAUUGCUUCCCCAAUCUGGACAAGUAUGUGACAUUAUUGUCUUCAUGAACUCAGUAAACUGAACUAAACAUUUCCAGUCCUGCUACACUUUUGUACACUCAUCAGAGAAUUUUUCCAUUUUUUUUAUAUUACAUUUAACUGCUGCUUUUCCCCCAAAUGUUUCAGCAAGGGUACAGUUACUUCUGAUACCUACAACUUGGUGCCUGAAUGCUUAUUUUUGUCAUUUGAAUUUCUCAUCUCUGAGGAAAAUGAGAAAAUACUAUCUAGUAAGACUGAGUUCUUUCAAAGCCCCUACACAUUCACACUCUCAGUAAAAAGACUUGAAUUACUGAAAGUAAUUAAAGGCUCCCAUCCUCAAAAUCUUUCAAGCUUUGCAUUACAGGAUGUGGGACAGACAGAGGGAAUCAGAAAGGUGGGUGGCUCCAACAAACAUUUAAGGUCUUGGAAGCAUGCAGAUUGAUACCUGUAUCCAUCUGCAGCCUUGCAUAUUUCCUAACCUUUUAGGUCCUUUUUCAUUGCUUUCCAGGAUCUGCUUUAAUGACUCUUGGAGUUCUUGUUUUUAGAUAAAUGAAAAUCCAGAAAGAAAAUAUCAGUGUAGGUGUUCUGAUUUGCCAUAUAAUAAACUCUGAUAUACUCUUAAGUAUCUGCCAGUACUUUGUACUGAUAUCUGAUUAUAAUUUCUGCCUGUACAUGAUAAAUGACAAAUACUUCAAUUAAUAAACUUAACCUCCAAGAGGAAACAGUGUUCUACUAUUGUUUAUCUCCCCUUCAUAUAAAUAAUUAGAUCGAUCCAAAUGAUGUGGUUUAAAUUUACAUUUUACUUUCACCCAGAAGUGCUGAUUUUCCUCAUAUAGAAAUUGCUAACUUCUUGUCUAAGAAACUUUCUAAAUGUUCUCAUGAUGUUAAGAUGGGUUUCAGUCUGUUAAUUAAUGAGUGUAAAAGAGACCUUAAUUCAGGAAAACAAGUCAUUGAAGUGUGAAAUACUGAUAGUCUUGAGUAAAAGUUGCUUUACAUUAUAGUUGAAGCAGCUUGAGAACAGAAGGGAGCACAUAAAAAAAAAGGUAAAAAUUAACCCAGAAUUAAGUAAAAAAUUUAAUAUUCCACGUAUGGAAGAUUUUUUCCCGCUACCAAUAUAUUUUGUAAUGUAGUUAAAAUAAAUCUGAAUAUUUUAUAGG